rnacentral:rRNA from 1 species
GACGAACGCUGGCGGCGUGCUUAACACAUGCAAGUCGAACGGUGAAGCGCUUGCCUUUUUGGUGGGUGUGGAUGAGUGGCGAACGGGUGAGUAACACGUGAGUAACCUGCCCUCUUCUUCUGGAUAACCUCAUGAAAGUGGGGCUAAUACGGGGUAUUCCGGGUCUGUCGCAUGGCGGGUUUGGGAAAGAUUGCGCCUUUGGGUGUUUUCGGUGGGGGAUGGGCUCGCGGCCUAUCAGCUUGUUGGUGGGGUGAUGGCCUACCAAGGCGGUGACGGGUAGCCGGCCUGAGAGGGUGGACGGCCACACUGGGACUGAGACACGGCCCAGACUCCUGCGGGAGGCAGCAGUGGGGAAUAUUGCACAAUGGGCGCAAGCCUGAUGCAGCGACGCCGCGUGAGGGAUGGAGGCCUUCGGGUUGUGAACCUCUUUCGCCAGUGAAGCAGGCCUGCCUCGUUUGUGGGUGGGUUGACGGUAGCUGGAUAAGAAGCGCCGGCUAACUACGUGCCAGCAGCCGCGGUAAUACGUAGGGCGCGAGCGUUGUCCGGAAUUAUUGGGCGUAAAGAGCUCGUAGGCGGCUGGUCGCGUCUGUCGUGAAAUCCUCUGGCUUAACUGGGGGCUUGCGGUGGGUACGGGCCGGCUUGAGUGCGGUAGGGGAGGCUGGAACUCCUGGUGUAGCGGUGGAAUGCGCAGAUAUCAGGAAGAACACCGGUGGCGAAGGCGGGUCUCUGGGCCGUUACUGACGCUGAGGAGCGAAAGCGUGGGGAGCGAACAGG